CCUACGGGAGGCAGCAGUGAGGAAUAUUGGUCAAUGGCCGAAAGGCUGAACCAGCAACGCCGCGUGAGGGAUGAAGGUCUAAGGAUUGUAAACCUCUGUUAGGAGGGACGAAUGGUCUCGUAAUGAACUUACGAGACGUGACGGUACCUCCAGAGAAAGCCCCGGCUAACUCCGUGCCAGCAGCCGCGGUAAUACGGGGGGGGCAAGCGUUGUCCGGAAUUAUUGGGUGUAAAGGGUGCGUAGGCGGAAUGGUAAGUCAGAAGUGCAAUGCUCAUGCUUAACAUGGGCGCUGCUUUUGAUACUGCUGUUCUUGAGUGCAGAAAAGGGAAGUAGAAUUCUCGGUGUAGCGGUGAAAUGCGUAGAUAUCGAGAAGAAUACCAGCAGCGAAGGCGGCUUCCUGGUCUGUAACUGACGCUGAGGCACGAAAGUGUGGGUAGCAAACAGGAUUAGAUACCCUGGUAGUCCACACUGUAAACGAUGGACACUAGAUAUUGGACCGCAAGGUUCGGUGUCGCAGCUAACGCAAUAAGUGUCCCACCUGGGAAGUACGGCCGCAAGGUUGAAACUCAAAGGAAUUGACGG
rnacentral:rRNA from 1 species